CUUGCCUUUUAAUUGGAGGCUGGUAUGAACGGACACACGAGAGCACACCUAUCUUAUUAAUGGAAAAAAAAUUAUCUCUUAGGUGAAGAGACCUAAAUCCCAUAAAAAGACGAAAAGACCCUAUGGAGCUUUACUUAGCUAGCCAUACACAAAAUAAAAAAAAUUGCUAUCUGCUAAAAAGUUUAGUUGGGGCGACUAAGGAGCAACUCAAACCCUCCUUCAAAUAGCUGAGGGCAUAAACCAAAAAAGAUCCAUAAAAAUGAAUAUAAAUUCAGCUACCCUAGGGAUAACAGGCUAAUCCUCCUCGAGAGCUCACAUUGACAGGAGGGGUUGGCACCU
rnacentral:rRNA from 1 species